AGUUGCGUCCCUAAAUGCGCGGCUGGCCUGAGCUAAAGGAGCAGCUCGUCACCGUGCGAGCCGAGACCAGCGUUGGGGUUCUGGGUCACCUCUUUUCUCCCGGCUUUUCCCUCGCUCUCCGGUUCCUGAAUUAGCUGUUUGUUUAUGGCUCCAGACGUGUGUGCCAGCGAGCCGAGGCAGCGUGCAAGGGAGAAAAUUGAUCUUUCCUCAGACUCAAAGCUGGAGCCGAAGAAGUGCGGGGGAUUUGGGGGUUCUGAGUGGGACUCAGACCCUAGGUGCUGAGGGGAAGCUCGUGGGCUCUCUGGCCCGCUUCUCUAACCCCAGCGACCUUGCAGGAAUCCUCAGGCCUGAGAGCGCCCGGGCUCUGGGCUUUGCAGAAAGUGGCGGCGGCUGUGUCCCGGGUUUUAAAAUCAACGCAAAGGAAAGGAGGCAAAGCUGAAAGCUUGUCGCGUGUCAGAAGCAACCUGCCGUGAAAUCCGCUAAUGCGCCCCGACUCGCCCUUCGCGAAUUCUAUUGACCAUGGCUUUCGUCGGAGAGAGAAUUCUAACUACUGCUGCUCUGGGCUCAGAGCUGAAGCUGGAAACAAGUAAAUCUAGCAAGAAUUGAUGGAGACAUGCUGGUGAUUGGAGCCACGUGGCCUUGCAUAGAAACCUGCUUUUUUAUUCUGCCUGCCUUGCUCCAAUUCAGGGAAAAGGUCGGCCCCUUUGGAACAGAUUUGCUUACUUGGAAGGUUGGAUAUACAUUUGGCAAGUUCUUUCCAGCUCUAGCCAGGCUGGGGGAGAAAAUGAGACAAUGGAAGAUUGCUCCACGGGCUUUUGGUCAAAGCUAACCCAAGGCAGGAAUACUUGAAGAAAUAUUAAACCAGACCUUUUGAUUCUGCCACAUGAAGAUCAAGUCCUAAAUUUCAACCCCACCCCCACUCCUUCAAGACUCUAGGGCAUUACAGAGCUGCUAGAGUGGAGAUGGUACCCUGAGAUCUGAGUCUGGUUGGCAGUGGGCACCCAGCCUCCAUGACCGAAGCCACAGCCAUAGUGUCCAACUGUGUGAAGAAGGAACCUGUGCCCAGAGAAUAUCUGAUCUUUGAUUCUGGAACUCACAGCUCCAGGUGGCUGAAGAGAGUUAGUCCCUAAAUGAGGCUGGAGAACCGGACAAUGAGAAAGACCAAGUGAGUCCCCCAGGAAGCCAGUCACGGAGUCUGCAUUCCUGUUGCAAGAAGCUGAUGCUGGAGACCCAAAAACUUGACCUGUCAAAGGGUGCUUGCCCAUCUCCCUCCUGGCCUAGUAAGGGACCUCCACCUCACCUCCUCACUGCCUCCAUCUGGGAGAAAGUCACCUCGACUCAAAAGAAAGCAAGCCCAAGUGAAUCAGACCACAGAACCUGUCAGAUUUCCAAGAAACAAGCAACCCAUACCCUUCUCCCUCAGCCCUGACACCUAGAGAGUCCGUGGAAGGGAUGGCUGGCAGGGCUUUCAUUUCAACAAGUACUGGGAGCUAAACCUUCUAGGCCGGUUUCCAGAGCAGCAACAAGAACAUAAAGGAAAGCAAUUAACGGUUUUCUAAAUGAGUCCCAGCUUGUGCCGCCUGACUCCAAACCUAAAGGUGCAUCUAAGGGUGCUAAGGGACCAGGAUAGGUACUAGUUGGUUUUGUUUGUUUGUUUGUUUGUUUUUCUAAUGAUACUGUUAAAUGUGUGUGAAACCACAGCCAAGAAGCCACAUUGUUCCAGAUUCACGCAGUAAAAUUGUAGGAGUGAGCACUGCAGAUAGCAUGCCCAACAUGGAGUACAGGGAAACAUGGAGUGUGGGAGACAUGGAGAAACUGCAGUGAAUUCUGACACUUACAUUGAACAUGUUGGGAGUUUGGAGGAAGAUACAUUGUGGGCUCUUUUGUGUUUUUUAUGUAGUUUUAAAAACAACCCCCCCCAAACCAGGCUGUUGAUACAAUCAUAGCAUCUCAGAUGUAGCAUAUUUAUAUUUCCCCAAGUAUAUUCACAAGAUAUAUAUAUAUAGCCUACGUUGGUGUGGAAAACAAACUAACAUUUUGUUGAUUCCAGCACAAACUCUGAAAGCCAAAACAAACAAACAAACCACUCUGGGGGACAAAGGGAGGGUGACUUCAAGCAGUCCUUUCUAUAGGGGUGGCUGGCUGAGGUCUGGGACUGUGGAGUUGAGAAAAAGCUAAGUAGAUCAUCCUGAACUAAAAGUUACCUUGGGAAACAAGACUUGAGAUCCGGGGUUGAGGUCAUGUGGGGGGUCAUCCAGUAUUCCUUUGGAGCAUAGCAUAGCUGAGAACUUAGCAGGACUCAGUCACUUCAGACUGGAGAUUGGGAAAUUUCUUCCCCUGGCGUGCACAGCACCAAACCUGAGUUAAGGUGUCCUUGCCUCUCCCUCAGGAUGCUCCCGACAGAGGUACUGCACUUCCCAACUGCCUUAGGCCCCUCGGGGUGUUGCCAGGCAAAUGAAACAAAAAGAACUCAAUAGUAAAUUAUUUUGUUCAGCCUUCUGUCUUUUUAUGAAAAUAAAAGCCAACACUUUGUCAUUUUUAAUUGCAUAAGCAGACAAUAAAUCUAAUUUCGAUAUUGA
ensembl:processed_transcript Gm16551 predicted gene 16551